rnacentral:rRNA from 1 species
AUUGAACGCUGGCGGCAUGCCUAACACAUGCAAGUCGAACGGCAGCACGGUCUAGCUUGCUAGACUGGUGGCGAGUGGCGCACGGGUGAGUAAUGCGUAGGAAUAUGCCUUGAAGUGGGGGAUAACUUGGGGAAACUCAAGCUAAUACCGCAUAAUCUCUAAGGAGGAAAGCUGGGGACCUUCGGGCCUGGCGCUUUAAGAUUAGCCUACGUCCGAUUAGCUAGUUGGUAGGGUAAAGGCCUACCAAGGCGACGAUCGGUAGCUGGUCUGAGAGGAGGAUCAGCCACACUGGGACUGAGACACGGCCCAGACUCCUACGGGAGGCAGCAGUGGGGAAUAUUGGACAAGGGGGGCAACCCUGAUCCAGCGAUGCCGCGUGUGUGAAGAAGGCCUACGGGUUGUAAAGCACUUUCGGUGGGGAGGAGGAUUCAUAGGUUAAGAGCUAAUGGAUUGGACGUUACCCGCAAAAGAAGCACCGGCUAACUCCGUGCCAGCCGCCGCAGUAACAC